rnacentral:tRNA from 1 species
GGGGAGAUACUCAAGUGGCCAACGAGGGCAGACUGUAAAUCUGCUGUUUUUAACUUCGGAGGUUCGAAUCCUCCUCUCCCCACAA